UGGGGAAUAUUGGACAAUGGGCGCAAGCCUGAUCCAGCAAUGCCGCGUGAGUGAAGAAGGUCUUCGGAUUGUAAAGCUCUUUCGACGGGGACGAUGAUGACGGUACCCGUAGAAGAAGCCCCGGCUAACUUCGUGCCAGCAGCCGCGGUAAUACGAAGGGGGCUAGCGUUGCUCGGAAUGACUGGGCGUAAAGGGCGCGUAGGCGGUGUACACAGUCAGGCGUGAAAUUCCCGGGCUCAACCUGGGGGCUGCGCUUGAUACAUGUACGCUUGAGUUCGGAAGAGGGUCGUGGAAUUCCCAGUGUAGAGGUGAAAUUCGUAGAUAUUGGGAAGAACACCGGUGGCGAAGGCGGCGACCUGGUCCGAUACUGACGCUGAGGCGCGAAAGCGUGGGGAGCAAACAGGAUUAGAUACCCUGGUAGUCCACGCCGUAAGCGAUGUGUGCUGGAUGUUGGGCAGCCUGGCUGUUCAGUGUCGUAGCUAACGCGAUAAGCACACCGCCUGGGGAGUACGGCCGCAAGGUUG
rnacentral:rRNA from 1 species